rnacentral:lncRNA from 1 species
UGUGCUUUUAUUUUGAAGCCCAGCCCGUUUAGUUUCCGGUACACUUUAGGUUGUCGCUGUCUGAUUUGACAGACUAUGUUUGAUCGAGUCGCUAAGCGGGGGUGUACUGGAUGCGCACCGCACAUCUGGACUGCGGAACGACCGCAAAGAAAGUGUUUUGACAGAAAAUUCCCAUUUAACAACAGUACUUUUAUAAUAAUAAUAAUAAUAAUAAAUUGUUAAUUGUUAAGUUCAUUUUAGAAUUUCUUGGCCCGCUGACUGAGGAACACACUGUCACAACAUUGUCUAGCACCUCAUAAAGGAGUCGAACGUGACUAGACAAAUGACAGCGGAAGAGGCAGCUUUUCUGGAAUGUUUCUCGUCACCUGCUGCAUUAAUCCGGUAAAAAGGAAAUCCUCUGGUUUCGGCUUUUUUUGGUCGCCCCCUCCAUGAUUGCAAGAAAAGGGAACUUCAUUGUUUCAAGUGCGAGGCACCUAAGUGAAAGCGUGUGACUUCACUCUCCAUGCAGACCUCGACCCACAGAGGAGCCCGUAACGAUCAUGAACGUCACCACCUUUGCGGUACCAUCUCCCGUCCAGACGAACGGAACCAGCUCUGGUCCCGUCUCCGCGGGUCUGGCCGUGGGGCUCACGCUCGUCUUUCUGCUCCUCGGAGUCGCGCUCGGCGUGAUCGCGUACAGACGCCACGGCAAAAGGAGGACGGUGCAGUUUGGACGAGACCGAAGCCAGAAGAAAGAAGACGCGUCGGAGGCAGCGCGCGACGCUUCCCAUCCCUACACCAGCAUGUACAGGGAGUCGUCGGCAGGACAGAGCCCCAUUUAUGAGAACGUCACUGGAACGUCCGCGUGCAACAGGCCUCCCAUCAACCACAGCAGACCGUCGCACGAGCCCGAGGAGGAUCCGUACCUGCAGUGUGAUUACGUAGACGAGGCCAUAUACAACAACGACCCGGUGUGUAACCUCGCCCUCUUCCCAGACUCCCAGGAGGACGACGUGUACAUCACGCCCCAGUCGUGAUGGGACGCGUGUGGCUGAAGGCCUGAACCUGCUGCUGCUCCCUCUGCAACACAAGCAAAAAACCAACCUUACGGGUGAAACAUGUCGCUGCUCCAGACUUGGAGGCAAAACAAAAGAUUUUACUAUGUUUAUGUUAUAUAUAUAUAUAUAUAUAUAUAUAUAUAUAUAUAUAUAUAUAUAUAUAUAUAUAUAUAUAUAUAUAUAUAUAUAUAUAUAUAUAUAUAUAUAUAUAUAUAUAUAUAUAUAUUAUACGUCUUUGUUUUUGGCACUGUACAAAUCAGACAUGUGCCAACAGCUCUGAGCCGUUGAAUGGUUCACUCACUUUCAUUUUGACAUUUAUUUAGCAGAAGUGUUGUAUCAUUAUAUAUAUUAUUUUACAUAUGUAUAUAGAUGUGGUAUAUAGCAGUAAUCUUUCUAAGGUUUGCCCAAUCGGUGAACUUUAUCACAUUUCCUAUACUUAGCAGGCUCAGGGACUCUAUGGAUGAGGACACUGCUAACAGAAGUUGCAUCAUCUGCUACUGUAUAUACUGUACAACAAACACAUUGUAUUUAAACAUUAAUUUUGCAAUUUUUGGUGAAAAUAAAAUGUAAAAUUGUGAUUUCA